rnacentral:rRNA from 1 species
GACGAACGCUGGCGGCGUGCUUAACACAUGCAAGUCGAACGAAGAGCGACGGAAGCUUGCUUCUCUCAGUCUUAGUGGCGAACGGGUGAGUAACGCGUAAUCAACCUGCCCUUCAGAGGGGGACAACAGUUGGAAACGACUGCUAAUACCGCAUACGAUCUAAUCUCGGCAUCGAGGAUGGCUGAAAGGUGGCCUCUACAUGUAAGCUAUCACUGAAGUAGGGGAUUGCGUCGGAUUAGCUAGUUGGAGGGGUAACGGCCCACCAAGGCGAUGAUCAGUAGCCGGUCUGAGAGGAUGAACGGCCACAUUGGGACUGAGACACGGCCCAGACUCCUACGGGAGGCAGCAGUGGGGAAUCUUCCGCAAUGGACGAAAGUCUGACGGAGCAACGCCGCGUGAGUGAUGACGGCCUUCGGGUUGUAAAGCUCUGUUAAUCGGGACGAAAGGCCUUCUUGCGAAUAGUGAGAAGGAUUGACGGUACCGGAAUAGAAAGCCGCGGCGAACUACGU